rnacentral:rRNA from 1 species
UACGUAGGGCGCAAGCGUUGUCCGGAAUUAUUGGGCGUAAAGAGCUCGUAGGCGGUCUGUCGCGUCUGUUGUGAAAACUCGAGGCUCAACCUCGGGCUUGCAGUGGAUACGGGCAGACUAGAGUGCGGUAGGGGAGGCUGGAAUUCCUGGUGUAGCGGUGGAAUGCGCAGAUAUCAGGAGGAACACCGAUGGCGAAGGCAGGUCUCUGGGCCGCAACUGACGCUGAGGAGCGAAAGCAUGGGAGCGAACAGG